rnacentral:sRNA from 1 species
GCCCAUCUGAAGCUGUGCACUCCGGUAAAGAGGAGGACCUCCCCAAAUGGAAGAAGACCAUUCUCUGUCAAGGGUAUACAAGCAUAUGCCCUACCCUGCUAAAGUCUCCAGACAAGUUCUCAAGGUAAAACCAACCUUGGAGGUUAUG